rnacentral:rRNA from 1 species
GACGAACGCUGGCGGCGUGCCUAAUACAUGCAAGUCGAACGCAGUGGGGACGGGUGAGUAACAAGUGGGUAACCUCCCAUCAGAGGGGAUAACACUUGGAAACAGGUGCUAAACCGAUACUGAUGGAUGGACCCGCGGUGCAUUAGCUAGUUGGUGAGGUAACGGCUCACCAAGGCCACGAUGCAUAGCCGGCCUGAGAGGGUGAUCGGCCACACUGGAACUGAGACACGGCCCAGACUCCUACGGGAGGCAGCAGUGGGGAAUAUUCCGCAAUGGGCGAAAGUCUGACGUAGCAACGCCGCGUGAGUGAAGAAGGUUUUCGGAUCGUAAAACUCUGUUAUUAGGGAAGCGUUAUCUAACCAGAAAGCCACGGCUAACUACGUGCCAGCAGCCGCGGUAAUAC